rnacentral:rRNA from 1 species
GAAUUCACUAGUGAUUCAGGCCUAACACAUGCAAGUCGAGCGGUAGAGAGAAGCUUGCUUCUCUUGAGAGCGGCGGACGGGUGAGUAAUGCCUAGGAAUCUGCCUGGUAGUGGGGGAUAACGUUCGGAAACGGACGCUAAUACCGCAUACGUCCUACGGGAGAAAGCAGGGGACCUUCGGGCCUUGCGCUAUCAGAUGAGCCUAGGUCGGAUUAGCUAGUUGGUGAGGUAAUGGCUCACCAAGGCUACGAUCCGUAACUGGUCUGAGAGGAUGAUCAGUCACACUGGAACUGAGACACGGUCCAGACUCCUACGGGAGGCAGCAGUGGGGAAUAUUGGACAAUGGGCGAAAGCCUGAUCC